GAUGAACGCUGGCGGCGUGCCUAAUACAUGCAAGUCGAGCGAACGGACGAGAAGCUUGCUUCUCUGAUGUUAGCGGCGGACGGGUGAGUAACACGUGGAUAACCUACCUAUAAGACUGGGAUAACUUCGGGAAACCGUAGCUAAUACCGGAUAAUAUUUUGAACCGCAUGGUUCAAAAGUGAAAGACGGUCUUGCUGUCACUUAUAGAUGGAUCCGCGCUGCAUUAGCUAGUUGGUAAGGUAACGGCUUACCAAGGCAACGAUGCAUAGCCGACGUGAGAGGGUGAUCGGCCACACUGGAACUGAGACACGGUCCAGACUCCUACGGGAGGCAGCAGUAGGGAAUCUUCCGCAAUGGGCGAAAGCCUGACGGAGCAGCGCCGCGUGAGUUAUGGAGGUCUUCGGAUCGUAAAACUCUGUUAUUAGGGAAGAACAGAUGUGUAAGUAACUGUGCACAGCUUGACGGUACCUAAUCAGAAAGCCACGGCUAACUACGUG
rnacentral:rRNA from 1 species